UUCUGGGAUCACUUCACAAGCAUAACCAGGGAUGGCAGAAUGGAAGCUUUGAAUUAGAUAUGAGACUGGAAUUUUAAUAUGCACUGGAUUGAAUUCUAAUUUGUUAAUUCUAAACAAAAACCAUAUUUAGAAAGUUCUCAAAUCUCUCCAAGAUGACAUUCAAGGAUGGGAAAGGGAAUUCAAGUGAUGUGGGCUGAGCAUAGCGACUGAAAAACGAUAAAGGCCAUUUCAUUUUUAUAGCCUCAAAAAACUGCUUUCACAUUGAAUGUGGAAUUAUGAAGUUAGAUCGAAGUAAUGGAGAUGAUUUUGUAAGGAAAGCAGAAAGAACGCUAACAGAUAUUGCACAGACGUUAAUAGCUGAAUGAGAACAUCUGAAAGUCCAUCUCCGAUUUCCUUUCAUCGGCACUAACUCAGUUUGACAGUCCGGACCCGACAGAACUAUAUAUCACAACAUGACCUAGAGUUGGCCAGACGUUUAAAUGCUCACCAGCCCUGAACUCACAAGGCUGUUUUUAACCUCCGGCUUGUUUGUAGAUUGCUGUUCAAGUGCCUGACAUUUGGGUGUUCAUGGAGUGCUUUGAUUGGCUGAAGCAUGGGGUUUUUUAAUAAUAUGAGCUGUUAGUCUAAACAAUCGUUUCUAAGCAAAACCCUUAAAUUUAUUCUUUAAAAUACUUCAUUUUAUCUUAAUGGACAAGACACUAUUUGAGGAUACAUGGUUCCUGCUUUUGAGCAAUCUAUCUUCUAGUGAGGAAUACGCAUGUAUACACCCCAACAUAAUCUGUGAGUGCUGUGUUAUAAAGAGGAAUGAGGUUGAGGAAUAAGGGACACCACCAACAUCCCAACGGCUUGGAAUAAAAUUCAAAUUCCUUCUUUAGCAUCUGAGGCCCACAUCAGUGAUUUUCCUCUUUGGCUGAAGAUCAGAACCCAACUCACGAACUCCAGAAUCUGAUGCCUAAACUCCAUUGCCGGAGAUUCUGGUUUAUUUCAUGCCAAGGAGGCUUCACUAGUGAGCGAUGAGAGUGUGAGCCAUCACAGUGGGUCUGUCCUCCUUGCUGAUCAUUCAGGUUGAGUGAGUGUCACAGUCCCGGCAAGUGAGACUUGAGUGAAGUUCUGCAGGGGACCCUCUGUGCUGCUGUGACAUCUCUAUUCCCAAGUCUGCAGAAAUCAAAGCGAUCUAAAUGUAAAGAGGUAUCUUGAUAUCCAAUUCUGAACAAAUGGAUCGUUUAUUUGCCUUCAAAGUCACCUUUGCCAUUGUCAAACCGAAGAAGAGAAAAAUUAUCACUUAGCUGGAAGUGUCUGUUUGAUAUUAUAGGAGGGUCUAAUGGUCAAAGGUUUAAACUUGGAAAGCAAUCCUAUUGCAAUGCAGCUGUUGCUGAUUUUAUGAGAAGACCUGGUCAAAGGGAAGAAGGAAUGAAAUGGCAUAGCUGUAAAAAAAAAAAAAGAAUCAAAUGGACAUGUAAUUCAGUUUGGCUGGUAUGUCUAAGUUUGGGAUCAUAGUGAUUAUUGCAGGAAGGAAUCAAUAAA